rnacentral:rRNA from 1 species
GACUCGUCACACUAUCAUUAACUGAAUCCAUAGGUUAAUGAGGCGAACCGGGGGAACUGAAACAUCUAAGUACCCCGAGGAAAAGAAAUCAACCGAGAUUCCCCCAGUAGCGGCGAGCGAACGGGGAGGAGCCCAGAGCCUGAAUCAGCAUGUGUGUUAGUGGAAGCGUCUGGAAAGGCGCGCGAUACAGGGUGACAGCCCCGUACACAAAAGCGCAUGUGCUGUGAGCUCGAUGAGUAGGGCGGGACACGUGGUAUCCUGUCUGAAUAUGGGGGGACCAUCCUCCAAGGCUAAAUACUCCUGACUGACCGAUAGUGAACCAGUACCGUGAGGGAAAGGCGAAAAGAACCCCGGCGAGGGGAGUGAAAAAGAACCUGAAACCGUGUACGUACAAGCAGUGGGAGCACCCUUUGGGGUGUGACUGCGUACCUUUUGUAUAAUGGGUCAGCGACUUAUAUUCUGUAGCAAGGUUAACCGUAUAGGGGAGCCGGAGGGAAACCGAGUCUUAACCGGGCGUUAAGUUGCAGGGUAUAGACCCGAAACCCGGUGAUCUAGCCAUGGGCAGGUUGAAGGUUGGGUAACACUAACUGGAGGACCGAACCGACUAAUGUUGAAAAAUUAGCGGAUGACCUGUGGCUGGGGGUGAAAGGCCAAUCAAACCGGGAGAUAGCUGGUUCUCCCCGAAAGCUAUUUAGGUAGCGCCUCGUGAAUUCAUCUCCGGGGGUAGAGCACUGUUUCGGCUAGGGGGCCAUCCCGGCUUACCAACCCGAUGCAAACUGCGAAUACCGGAGAAUGUUAUCACGGGAGACACACGGCGGGUGCUAACGUCCGUCGUGAAGAGGGAAACAACCCAGACCGCCAGCUAAGGUCCCAAAGUCAUGGUUAAGUGGGAAACGAUGUGGGAAGGCCCAGACAGCCAGGAUGUUGGCUUAGAAGCAGCCAUCAUUUAAAGAAAGCGUAAUAGCUCACUGGUCGAGUCGGCCUGCGCGGAAGAUGUAACGGGGCUAAACCAUGCACCGAAGCUGCGGCAGCGACGCUGAUGCGUUGUUGGGUAGGGGAGCGUUCUGUAAGCCUGCGAAGGUGGCCUGUGAGGGUUGCUGGAGGUAUCAGAAGUGCGAAUGCUGACAUAAGUAACGAUAAAGCGGGUGAAAAGCCCGCUCGCCGGAAGACCAAGGGUUCCUGUCCAACGUUAAUCGGGGCAGGGUGAGUCGACCCCUAAGGCGAGGCCGAAAGGCGUAGUCGAUGGGAAACGGGUUAAUAUUCCCGUACUUGGUGUUACUGCGAAGGGGGGACGGAGAAGGCUAUGUUGGCCGGGCGACGGUUGUCCCGGUUUAAGCGUGUAGGUGUGUGUUCCAGGUAAAUCCGGUUCACUUUAACACUGAGGCGUGAUGACGAGGCACUACGGUGCUGAAGCAACAAAUGCCCUGCUUCCAGGAAAAGCCUCUAAGCAUCAGGUAACAUCAAAUCGUACCCCAAACCGACACAGGUGGUCAGGUAGAGAAUACCAAGGCGCUUGAGAGAACUCGGGUGAAGGAACUAGGCAAAAUGGUGCCGUAACUUCGGGAGAAGGCACGCUGACACGUAGGUGAAGUGAUUUACUCAUGGAGCUGAAGUCAGUCGAAGAUACCAGCUGGCUGCAACUGUUUAUUAAAAACACAGCACUGUGCAAACACGAAAGUGGACGUAUACGGUGUGACGCCUGCCCGGUGCCGGAAGGUUAAUUGAUGGGGUCAGCGCAAGCGAAGCUCCUGAUCGAAGCCCCGGUAAACGGCGGCCGUAACUAUAACGGUCCUAAGGUAGCGAAAUUCCUUGUCGGGUAAGUUCCGACCUGCACGAAUGGCGUAAUGAUGGCCAGGCUGUCUCCACCCGAGACUCAGUGAAAUUGAACUCGCUGUGAAGAUGCAGUGUACCCGCGGCAAGACGGAAAGACCCCGUGAACCUUUACUAUAGCUUGACACUGAACAUUGAGCCUUGAUGUGUAGGAUAGGUGGGAGGCUUUGAAGUGUGGACGCCAGUCUGCAUGGAGCCGACCUUGAAAUACCACCCUUUAAUGUUUGAUGUUCUAACGUGGACCCGUGAUCCGGGUUGCGGACAGUGUCUGGUGGGUAGUUUGACUGGGGCGGUCUCCUCCUAAAGAGUAACGGAGGAGCACGAAGGUUGGCUAAUCCUGGUCGGACAUCAGGAGGUUAGUGCAAUGGCAUAAGCCAGCUUGACUGCGAGCGUGACGGCGCGAGCAGGUGCGAAAGCAGGUCAUAGUGAUCCGGUGGUUCUGAAUGGAAGGGCCAUCGCUCAACGGAUAAAAGGUACUCCGGGGAUAACAGGCUGAUACCGCCCAAGAGUUCAUAUCGACGGCGGUGUUUGGCACCUCGAUGUCGGCUCAUCACAUCCUGGGGCUGAAGUAGGUCCCAAGGGUAUGGCUGUUCGCCAUUUAAAGUGGUACGCGAGCUGGGUUUAGAACGUCGUGAGACAGUUCGGUCCCUAUCUGCCGUGGGCGCUGGAGAACUGAGGGGGGCUGCUCCUAGUACGAGAGGACCGGAGUGGACGCAUCACUGGUGUUCGGGUUGUCAUGCCAAUGGCACUGCCCGGUAGCUAAAUGCGGAAGAGAUAAGUGCUGAAAGCAUCUAAGCACGAAACUUGCCCCGA